AUGUUAAUCUCAGUGGAUUAGCAGUGUAUCCUUUGAGAAAAAGGAGAGCUUGAGUUCUUGGUCCCCUGAGUACUGGAUGCAAUUGUUUGAGAAAUCUUGAGUUUCAUCAGCUAGAUACAAGGAAAUGUGCAAGUAAGCCUUGAAUGAUCUGUCAGAAGAGUUUGACUUUGUUGCAGCCGUUUUGGAAACUUGUUUGAACUGAUAGUUGUUCCCCAGAUGUUUCUUUGCUUGGUUUUAGUGCAUUUCACAUGAGACAGUGAAAAGGGAUCACCACAGGAUUAUUAGUAAUUCAGAGCUUCUUGGAGAGCCAUAUUCCAGCCAUCAAUUUGCUAAAAUAAUGGCUGGAAUAUGAAUUGCUGCACUUUUAUGAUAUAGUGUAUCUAUUGUUUAAAUACAUCAUUUGUCUUAUCCACUCCAGCAUAUGUAUUUAUACUGGAAAGUUUACAUAGUGAGUAAAAAUAAUAAUACAGUCUCACUGAAUGAGGUUAAUUGCAGUUCAGUCAUGCUGAAAUCAAGAAGCGAGACAUAAUAGCAAGAGAACAGACUGAUUCUGUCCUCAUGGGCACUGGAUAUGCCUACAAUGACUGAAGUCAGGCACUUAUCAGAAGCAAUUCCCAGUACAGAUGUGCACACUGCCUUAGUCUGAAUGACUUUUCAGUUUCAUUAGUGUAUAUCUAAGUUUUGCCAGUUGCUCAUGGAGUCAGCACAGAUGUGUCCCUCUUACCUUUCCCUUUUCCCACAGUUUUGUGUCUGUUGGGAUUCUCUGCAGCUCUAUACAUAGAGAAGAUGAGCGUCUGUGACUAGCAGUGAGUAGCUGGGGCUAACAGAAAAACAGUGAGAUGUCCAGACUGAAAUUUCAUGUCUGCAUUCAGAUGAGACUAUAGAGAAAUCUCUGCUGCAUAAAAUUCUCUGGUGUUUUCAACUAGAAAGUGAUAAGGUUUCCUCUGUUAAGCUUGGCCACUUAAUCUGAAAAUGAGGAAUCAUUUUGGAAACUAGAACUCUGUCUGGUUAAGGAAGGGAUCUUUAAUUACAUGGGGAAGACUCUGCCAUUCUACAAGUGCUGUUCACAGAUCUUGCUGAACUGUCUCAUGAAAUAUUUGUAUUCCUUGCUCAAAGGUUUCUAGUCCCAAAGCUGCACUAUUUUUUGACAAAGCAUCACCCCCAUUACAAAUUCAUGUCAUGCAGACAUUCUAAACUUAGCUUGAAGGGCUUCCUUUCUGCUUCCUCACCAGUUUUUGAAGGUGAGGGUAACUUUUUUGGUUUCUUGCUCAAACAAAAAUGCAUCAAUCUUCUUAUGCAGCAGAUCUCUGCUGGCAAGAAUAGGACUGCAGGUUUUCCUUCUCUUCAUCAUGCAAAAUAGCUGUACUGUUGCAAAUAGGAAGUUGUUCCUAAUUUCUUACUUCCCAAGUAACUAGAAAGUUUGUGGUUAGAAAGUUCAAUACUGGGACCUGUCAAUUUCACUAUCAGUUUCCUUUUGUUUUAUUAUUUUUUUAGAUGUCUAAUGUUUAUACCAAGGAUAGAUUUAUUUGGUACAAGGCCAGGUUAUGACCACCACCAAAUGCAGCUCCAUUAAUUUCAGCGGGAAUGGUGCCCGCGCCCUCUGGCGACUGUCCGGGGCCUUGGAAACUCCGCAGCGCUGUCGCCCACCUCCUAAUGCAGCUUUACUGCUGAGAAACGCUCGAAACCUCCGAAGUAUUUUAAUGCUCCCGCUAAAUCCCCGUGAAAACUAACUUCCGCGACAGUAAAAAAUGAAGAUUACAGCUAUUGCUGUCAGUCCCUUGCAUUUAGGGCAUCGGAGGUUUUAAAAACCUGGAAAAGAUAAUAAGGACUGAAGUUUUGAUUGUGUUCUUUUUGCAUGUACGCUUUGAACAUGGGCUAUGAGCACCUGUGAGUGUGGAUGUGACUACAUGACUGAUGUACUGAAUUUAGGGACGGCAGAGCAGCUAUGAAUUCUACACAAUCCCUUGCUGUCCACUUAAACGGGAGCAAAUGACUGAAUGGACAAGCCUGAUUUUCUGUAUAUAUCUCAAGCAAAGAUGGCAUCACCUCACUAAGUACUCCUGUGCUCAUGGCUUAAAUCCUCAUUGAAUCAGGCAUUUACUGAUCUGCAGCUUCAGCUUGCUCAUCCAUUUGUAGGAGAGGACUACAGACCAGAAGAGCCCAAGGAAAAGACUCCACUUUCAGAAUAAAAGAGCUGUUUUUAGGAUCCAACAUAAUGUUAAAAUAGAAACUCUGCUACGUGAAGGGUUUUUUUUUAAGGAAUGAGAUACUUGCUUCGAGGGAAUACCUACAUCUUCCAGAGAAGAGGAAUUUAUGGUUUUCUUAUCAGAAGCUAAUUUCUUCUGGCCUUGCUCAGACUGGAAGACGCCAUGGGGAUUAAAAGAAACAGUUGACAUACAACAGAGAGAGUUCUUGUUUUAAAUGGAAUGUAUGCAUAUCCAUGAAGGAUGUAUGAAUAUGCAACAGGCUAUUGCUUUUAAGGUUAUUCCUUUGUUCACAAGGUGUGCUUUUCGUGAUUUAGUGUCCAAGAGCAUCCCGAGG